rnacentral:tRNA from 1 species
GUCCAGGGUAGCCUAGUGGACCUGGCAUCUGCCCGGUAAGCAGAACACUGUGGGUUCGAUUCCCAUACCUGGACA